CCAGCCACUGUGUUGGUUUUCUCAUGGCAUGGCUCAUAUUGUUUAUUUUACAAGACUGGGGUAAUUAAAUUUAUUAAUUUAAUCAUGUUCAUCCAGAUAAUUCUUUUAAUCUAUUGAAGAGUAUAAUGUAAUAAGAAUAAAGACUAAUGUAACCCUCUAUUUACUAUACAUUUGGUAGAACUAGUGACUUUUUUUUGGCCCCAUCAUCACAAUGUAUACAGUUAAAAUUUUAGUUCAUUGACAUACCCAAUAAUAAACCAAAGGUUUUUAUGAACAUUUUAAGUUUUAAACUAAAUCUAUUUUCAGGUAUAGCACCAUAUGUCAUGUAUGUAUAUAGGUAUGGCACACAUGAAUGAAUUGGGACCUUAUCAACGUAUUGUGUUCAAAGAAGACCUAACGAAUCCAGCAGUUCAAAAACAUGUUUUGCAGUGAGACGAAUGGUGACAAUAACUUUGUGGCAGUUAGUGAAAAACUGUGGCAUUUUACACUGAUGAUGGCUACCAUUUACAGAAAAUUUCUCAACCAAUAGUGACAUUCAAUUGAAAGUAAUAGCAUAUCUUACACCGACUAUACAUCAGAAUGUUGUUGAAAAAAAGCAAUGGCAAAAAGUGGAAAAUACUGAUCAAUAUACUUCAAUGACUUUGGAACUGAGUAGAAAAUGGUGACAUUUUAGCACCAUAUUGUGUGUAUACUUUUUCUUGCAUCCGCACAGUCCGGCCAGGAUCCAUGCUGUUCACUAAUGGUUUCUAUGGUUGCAAUGGCAUUUGAAAGCGAGCAGCAUGGAUCCUGACCAAAUCGAGCUGAUGCGCAGGCUGGUCUGUAGCCAUGCUGAUCGCAAAGCCUCUAUGUUGGUUUUCUCCUGGCACGGCUCAUAUAUAAAUUCAUGUAUGUAAAUAAUGUUUUGCUUAUGGUAUUUUGUCAGCACAGGUAAUGAAAUACUAAAAAAACAUAAAAUAUUUUGUAAGUGUUUUGUUUAAAUUGGUGACCUUGCUCUUUUGCAUAUCAUAAAUUAUUAUAUGUUUUGUUGGUAUUUUGUUAGCAGUGUUUUGUUAGUGUUUUCUUUAGCACAUAUAAUGAAACACUAAUAAAACAUAAAGUAUUCUGUUAGUGUUUUGUAUAAGCCUAAUUUGCAUAUCAUGUUUUGUUGGUAUUUCGUUAGCAAUGUUUUGUUAGUGUUUUGUUACCUCAUUUGCAUGUCAUUUGCUAUACUAAUAAAACAUCAUCAAAACACAG